rnacentral:rRNA from 1 species
AUUGAACGCUGGCGGCAGGCCUAACACAUGCAAGUCGAGCGAGCGGCGGACGGGUGAGUAAUGUAUGGGGACUGCCCGAUAGAGGGGGCUAACUACUGGAACCGGUGGCUAAUACCGCAUACUAUCGGAUAACCCAUAUGGGAUUAGCGAGUAGGUGGGGUAAAGGCUCACCUAGGCGACGCGCCCUAGCUGGUCUAAGAGGGUGAUCCGCCCAACUGGGACUGAGAAACGGCCCAGACUCCUACGGAGGCAGCAGUUGGGAAUAUUGGGCAAUGGGCGCAAGCCUGAUGCAGCCAUGCCGCGUGUAUGAAGAAGGCCUUAGGGUUGUAAAGUACUUUCAGCGGGGAGGCGGUACCCGCAGAGGAAGCCCCGGCUAACUACGUGCCAGCAGCCGCGGUAAUUC